rnacentral:rRNA from 1 species
CCUACGGGUGGCAGCAGUGAGGAAUAUUGGUCAAUGGGCGCGAGCCUGAACCAGCCAAGUAGCGUGAAGGAUGACUGCCCUACGGGUUGUACACUUCUUUUAUAAAGGAAUAAAGUGAGGCACGUGUGCCGUGUCGUAUGUACUUUAUGAAUAAGGAUCGGCUAAAUCCGUGCCAGCAGACGCGGUAAUACGGAGGAGCCGAGCGUUAUCCGGAUUUAUUGGGUUUAAAGGGAGCGUAGAUGGGUUGUUAAGUCAGUUGUGAAAGUUUGCGGCUCAACCGUAAAAUUGCAAUUGAUACUGGCAGUCUUGAGUACAGUUGAGGUUGGCGGAAUUCGUGGUGUAGCGGUGAAAUGCUUAGAUAUCACGAAGAACUCCGAUUGCGAAGGCAGCUUACUAAACUGCCACUGACAUUGAUGCUCGAAAGUGUGGGUAUCAAACAGGAUUAGAUACCCGUGUAGUC